UUAAGGGCAGCAUUGAACAAGUUAACUGGCUAACAAACUGCUGUGCUUUUUGGAUAAAUUAUUAAAUAAGCUUUCUUCCGAGUCAAACAAAACCAAAUGUUUAAUAUAAUUUAAUGUUCAGUUCGUGAGUGUGUUGUAACAUGACUCGACUCGGAAAAGGAAUUUGUUAGCACGAGUAAUACUGGUUAGCCUCGCCAUCUUGUGGACUCCAGGUGCAUAGAUUUAAAAUGACAUAUAUUUAUGUCUACAGAACGACAAAUAAUUAUUUAGGAUGUUCCAGCAACAAAGAAAAGAAGAUUGCUUCCCUCAAAGCAAGGUUGUUUUUUUUCUUACUGAGCUCGCCCAAGUGUGCCUAAUCAAGUGGCUGUCGACAGUGCUCGAGACGCAAGGGGAAGGAAGCACUCCAUCAUCUACAAGCAAAGGCAGGAAGUUUGUGAAGUUACAGUGGUGAUGAAAAUAUCGGCACGUUUGUAUUACAAUUUUCUCAUUUUUGCCAAAAGACACAUAAGGAAGUGACAGUGUACUUAAGUAACAGUCAAACAAGUCAUGGACAUUUUUGAGCUGCUUGAUCUCAAGCGGUAAGAAGGCUGCAAAAAAAAAAAAAAAUGUCCAAGCGCAAAUAAAAACGAUACAAAUUUAAAAGUAAUCACAUGCACAGGGAUUGGACUUCGCUUUGGGGCUGAAAAUGCCAGGUGAACUUUUUCUUUGGCUUUAUCGCCGCGGUAAGUGUCACUAACCGGCUGGCACAAGACACUGAGGCAACGUUGAUUAUAUGUGCAUGUCCUUUAAAACUGACUUUGAAACAACGUUGCAAAAUAGUUGUAUUUGUAAAUUGAGACAACCUUCGUGUCUAACGUUGGAUUAACAAUGUUGGUUGGAAAAUUAUCAAACUUUAACGGUCAAAUCAACAUCACAACCUGAAAUUGAAUAACCGUCAUCAAAAAGCAUGUUGUUUCAGUGUUGUAUUUGUGUUUUGAAAUAUUAGUUGGAAAAUGACCAAAAUUCAAGGGUCAAAUCAAUGUCAGAACCCAACAUUGAUUAAACAUCGUCAAAAAGCAUGUUGUCUCAAUGAAAAGUUUGAGUUGCUCAACGUCAGGACCAAAUUCAUCAAGUUGUCAUUGUUGUUGCAAUGUAAUGUACCUGCUGAGUUUCCUCACUUAAAAUUAAUUAUCACUGAGCGUUUUAUCCUAUUACUUUUUAAUAUUCACAGUUGUUUUAGGCUUGUAUGACAGUCAGUGGCAUCAUAUAACAUUGUUACGUGAUACGUUGUUGUGCAUGUGCACCUGUUUGGUGUAUUUUAUUCCCCCAAAAA